rnacentral:lncRNA from 1 species
UUAAUACAGGUCCUAAGGAGCAUGAGUCCAUUAAAGAAGAAUCACCAGGAGAAAUUCUUGAGAUGGACCAGAAUAAAGCUCAAGACAUAAGGCAACACAUGUUCCCUAAGGAGAUCAAUUCUGAGGCAUCCAUACUGCCCAAUCCGACCAGCACUACACCAGGUUUAGAAACUCAGAAGAAGUUCACGGCCCAAAGACAAAGGACACCAGUUUUGGUAUUAGGUACAUCACUUGAUUUAAAUAAAAGAACUGAUAGUCUUGUUCCAUUAAAACUUUCAAAUUCUGGAUUUAUGCACUUGUCUUUGCCAAAGAGUUUUGAUCCAGGGAUAAGACAAGGUGAUGGACGACCAAGCCAUGGUAAAAGGUUGAAAGAGAACCAGGGAAAGCACCUGACUUGUCCACAAAACGUUGAAGGAGAUGCAAGAAGCAUCAAAAGCAAACAAGCUGCCAAAGAGCAAAGCAUCCUUCAACUAGCUAAAACCAUUUGGGUAAAUCUGAACUUUACUUGUCUUAUUUAUAAAUUUUCAAACCCAGAUAUAAUCCACUUGUUUCCUGCCAAAAGUGUUGAAUUUAUUUCAGGAACAGAGGCUAAGCAUCACAUUGAUGAUCAAGGCAAGGAGAUCACAAAGUGUUUACAUGCCAAAAGAAAACAAGAAGUUGUCAUCAGCAACCUCUUGAUCCUAGACGUUCCAGAAGAUAAGAUACCACCUAGCAGAGUGCCAGACCAAAACAGAGGAGUAGCCUCGUCAUUCCUACUCAAAGAAGAGCCAUCAGAUGUGCCAUCAAAUAUCAAACCGAUCAAAUACCAAGGUAAGGUCCUAGAAUCUCAACAGAGGAUGAAACCUGACUUGCUCUAUUUUGGUGCAGAUUAUCCAGUUUCGAGGUCGAAACUUUUUCAAGAGAGAGGGUAUGAUGCGGGCAUCAAAUCAGUAGCUGAAACAGAGGCUAACCAGUUGCACCAAUCAGCUAACCAAAGGACCAACCAGGAUAUGCGUUCAGUAAAAACGGUGUGUCUUACCAACCAGGAGGAAUUUGGCCAUGAAACCAAUUUUCAUGCAUUCUACACUCAACAAGGAGUCAGGAACAAUUGGAAUCAUCUUCAAAGCUACUCGGACCAGGAAGAUAUGAAUUUUACAAACCGGAGGUUCUCCAACCCGUCCAUCUGCGAGUAUCCGAGUUUAGAAGUUGUUUCUAGCCCAAAGAAGAAGCGUUCCGACCCAAACCAAAACGUGUACUUCAAGAUAUAUCUCGUAUCAAGCCAACAAGCCCAAGAAGAGGAGAAAAGACCACGUAAAUCUCAAGAUACAAUCAUUUUACCAGAACCGGUCAAACCGAGCAACUUAUGGAAAGAUUGGACAAUCAACUGGUCCAAUUGUUUCCAAAUCGAGCUCAACCAACCAGGACGUAUUCUACAUGAUCCAAGGCUUCCAGAAUACACAUCCAACCGUCCAGAAGAGCCUCCCCUUAUAUUUCCCUACACCAGCAAGCAUAGGAUCAGCAGGAUCUUCAUUUACAUCAACUUACCAUAUCGGUAUGUUUUCCCAAAAAGAAGCUCUGAAGACCAACGGCUCUAUUGCUUAGACUACUGCCUUCUGAACACAUUCAGAAUGAAUCUAGACGUUCCAAGACAUCAGAGUUUUCCCACAAAACUCUCAAGACUCAAGAGAAUUAUCACCUUCCUUAUUUUUGGCCAAGCAAGCCAUUUAAGGCCUAACGGCUACUUCCUUUUAUUCUUGAUUUUCUUUCUGAUUUCUAGCAUAGUUUUAUUGUUUCUGAGCACUAUAUAAGCUCAUGGUCGUGCAUUGUAAAAACCACCUUUCAAUCCUUAAGAAAUAAUAUUCAGUUUAUCUUUUAUCAAAGAAUUUCUUUGCAUAAAAAUCUGUUCUUUAGUUUCUAAGUGUGAGAUACAUUAGAAAGCUAUUGAGUUCGUGGUUCAUAGGUUCUUUGUGUGAUACAGGAGCCUUGAGACACAGAUUGAGAGAGUCAAUCAGCACCCACGGAUUGAGAGAGUCAAUCAUCUUCUACCCAACAUCAUCUAUCCAUCUUCCAUCUUCAAACAACUAUUCAUCAAUCAUUCCAUCCCUAUAUCUUUUCAGUUUCUGUUCUUAUUUUAAUUAUUCAUAAACUCAUUGUUCUUCAUUGUUUCCAGGUUAGAUUGGAUUAAAAGGAACAGCAAGUCGUCCAUCUUCACCAUCUUUCUAUCCGGUCUUCAUCCUUACCGAUAAGAUCAACCCAUCGCCCAUCCAUCUCAUCGACCCAGCUUCCCAGCCUGUAACACAUAUCAGCACGUUGGUCCUUGAACUCAACACGUUGGUCCCUGGACUCAGCACGCUGGCCCUUCCCAUGGACUGUUUGGGUCAUUUUGGCCCACGUGGGCUGUCUGUUCAGUACACACAGGACGUCCGUGGGUGUCCGCCAGCACACACAGGACGUUUGUGGCUGUCAUUGGCUGUCCGUCAGCACACACAGGACAUCUGUGGCUGUCCGUGCGUGCCCGUGUGUGUCUGUGGGUGUCUGCCAGCAUACAUAGAACGUUCGUGGCUGUCCGUGGCUGUCUGUCAGCACACAUAGGACGUCCAUGUGUGUCCGUCAGCACACACAGGACGUCCGUGUGUGUGCGUGUGUGUCCGUCAGCACACACAGGAUGUCAGUGGCUGUCCAUCAGUACACAUAUCAGCACGCUGGCCCUUCCCGUGGACUGUUCGGGUGAUUUUGGCCCAAGUGGGCUGUCUGUUCAGUACACAAAGGACGUCCGUGGGUGUCCGUCAGCACACACAGGACGUCCGUGGGUGUCCGUCAGCACACACAGGACGUCCGUGUGUGUCCGUCAGCACACACAGGAUGUCCGUGGCUGUCCAUCAGUACACAUAUCAGCACUUUGGUCCUUGGACUCAGCACGCUAGCCCUUCCCGUGGACUGUUUGGGUGAUUUUGGCCCACGUGGGCUGUCUGUUCAGUACACAAAGGACGUCCGUGGGUGUCCGCCAGCACACACAGGACGUCCGUGGCUGUCUGUCGCUGUCCGUCAGCACACACAGGACGUCCGUGACUGUCUGUGUGUGUCUGUGUGUGUCCGUCAGCACACACAGGAUGUCCGUGGGUGUCCGUCAGCACACACAGGACGUCCGUGUGUGUCCGUCAGCACACACAGGACGUCAGUGGCUGUCCAUGUGUGUCCGUUUGUGUCUGUCAGCACAAACAUGACGUCUGUGGCUGUCCAUCAGUACACAUAUCAGCAUUUUUGUCCUUGGACUCAGCACCCUGGCCCUUCCCGUGGACUGUUUUGGUGAUUUUGGCCCGCGUGGGCUGUCUGUUCAGUACACAAAGGAAGUCUGUGGGUGUACCCAAGCACACACAGGACGUCCGUGGGUGUCUGUGGCUGUCCGUCAGCACACACAGGAUGUCCGUGACUGUCCGUGUGUGUCCGUGUGUGUCCGUCAGCACACACAGGAUGUCCGUGGGUGUCCGUCAGCACACACAGGACGUCCGUGUGUGUCCAUCAGCACACACAGGACGUCCGUGGCUGUCCAUGUGUGUCCGUGUGUGUCCGUCAGCACACACAGGACGUCUGUGGCUGUCCAUCAGUACACAAAUCAGCAUUUUUGUCCUUGGACUCAGCACCCUGGCCCUUCCUGUGGACUGUUUUGGUGAUUUUGCCCCACGUGGGCUGUCUGUUCAGUACACAAAGGACGUAUGUGGGUGUCCGCAAGCACACACAGGACGUCCGUGGGUGUCUGUGGCUAUCCGUCAGCACAUAGAGGACGUCCGUGGCUGUCAUCAGUACACAUAUCAAUACGCUGGUCCUUGGACUCAGCACGCUGGCCCUUCCCGUGGACUGUUCGGGUGAUUUUGGCCCACGUGGGCUGUCUGUUCAGUACACAAAGGACCUCCGUCGGUGUCCGUCAGCACACACAGGACGUCCGUGGGUGUCCGUCAGCACACACAGGACGUCCGUGUGUGUCUGUGUGUGUCCGUCAGCACACACAGGACGUCCGUGGCUGUCCAUCAGUACACAUAUCAGCACAUUGGUCCUUGGACUCAGCACGCUGGCCCUUCCCGUGGACUGUUUGGGUGAUUUUGGCCCACGUGGGCUGUCUGUUCAGUACACAAAGGACGUCCGUGGGUGUCCGCCAGCACACACAGGACGUCCGUGGCUGUCUGUCGCUGUCCGUCAGCACACACAGGACGUCCGUGACUGUCCGUGUGUGUCUGUGUGUGUCCGUCAGCACACACAGGAUGUCCGUGGGUGUCCUUCAGCACACACAGGACGUCCGUGUGUGUCCGUCAGCACACACAGGACGUCAGUGGCUGUCCAUGUGUGUCCGUUUGUGUCUGUCAGCACAAACAUGACGUCUGUGGCUGUCAAUCAGUACACAUAUCAGCAUUUUUGUCCUUGGACUCAGCACCCUGGCCCUUCCCGUGGACUGUUUUGGUGAUUUUGGCCCGCGUGGGCUGUCUGUUCAGUACACAAAGGACGUCUGUGGGUGUACCCAAGCACACACAGGAAGUCCGUGGGUGUCUGUGGCUAUCCGUCAGCACAUAGAGGACGUCCAUGGCUGUCCAUCAGUACACAUAUCAAUACGCUGGUCCUUGGACUCAGCUCGCUGGCCCUACCCGUGGACUGUUAGGGUGAUUUUAGCCCACGUGGGAUGUCUGGUCAGUACACACAGGAUGUCCGUGGGUGUCCGCCAGCACCCAUAGGACGUCUGUAGCUGUCCGUGUGUGUCCGUCUGUGACCGUCAGCAGACACAGGGCGUCCGUGUUUGUCCAUCAGUUCACAUUUCAGCACGUUGGUUCUUGGACUCCGCACGCUGGCCCUCCCCGUGGACUGUUUGGGUGAUUUUGGCCCACGUGGGCUGUCUGUUCAGUACACACAAGAUGUCUGUGGGUGUCCGCCAGGACACACAGAACGUCCGUGGCUGUCCAUUUGUGUCUGUGUGUGUCUGUGGGUGUCCACCAGCACAAACAGGACGUUCGUGGCUGUCAAUGGCUGUCCGUCAGCACACACAGGACGUCUAUGUGUGUCCAUCAGCACACACAGGACGUGUGUGUGUGUCUGUGUGUGUCCGUCAGCACACACAGGAAGUCCGUGGCUGUCCUUCAGUACACAUAUAAGCACGCUGUCCUUGGACUCAGCACGCUGCCCUUUCCGUGGACUGUUUGGGUGAUUUUGGCCCAUGUGGGCUGUCUGUUCAGUACACACAUGACGUCCGUGGGGAUCCGUCAGCACACACAGGAUGUCCGUGGCUGUCCGUGUGUGUCUGUGUGUGUCCGUCAGCACACACAAGACGUCCGUGGCUGUCCAUCAGUACACAUAUCAGCACGUUGGUUCUUGGACUCAGCACCCUGGCCCUUCUCGGGGACUGUUCGGGUGAUUUCGGCCCACGUGGGCUGUCUGUUCAGUACACACAGGACGUCCGUGUGUGUCCGUCAGCACACACAGGACAUUCUUGUGUGUCCAUCAGCUCACAGAGGACGUCCGGGGCUGUCCGUGUGUGUCCGUCAGCACACACAGGACGUCCGUGAGUGUCCAUCAGUACACAUAUCAGCAUGUUGGUCCUUGAACUCAGCACGUUGACCCUUCCCGUGGACUGUUCGGGUGAUUUUGGCCCACGUGGGCGGUCUGGUCAGUACACACAGGACUUCUGUGGAUGUCCGCCAGCACACACAGGACGUCCGAGGCUGUCCGUGUGUGUCCGUCUGUGACCGUCAGCACACACAGGACGUCCGUGUCUGUCCAUCAGUUCACAUUUCAGCAUGUUGGUUCUUGGACUCCGCACGCUGCCCCCCCCCCCCCCCCCGUGGACUGUUUGUGUGAUUUUGGCCCACGUGGGCUGUCUGUUCAGUACACACAAGAUGUAUGUGGGUGUCCGCCAGGACACACAGGACGUCCGUGGCUGUCCGUCUGUGUUUGUGUGUGUCUGUGGGUGUCCGCCAGCACACACAGGACGUCUAUGUGUGUCCGUCAGUACACACAGGACGUGUGUGUGUGUCUGUGUGUCUCCGUCAGCACACACAGGAAGUCUGUGGCUGUCCUUCAGUACACAUAUCAGCACGCUGGUCCUUGGACGCAGCACGCUGGCCCUUCCUUGGACAGUUUGGGUGAUUUUGGCCCACGUGGGCUGUCUGUUCAGUACACACAUGACGUCCGUGGGGGUCCGUCAGCACACACAAGACAUCCGUGGCUGUCCGUGUGUUUCUGUGUGUGUCCGUCAGCACACACAGGACGUCCGUGGCUGUCCAUCAGUACACAUAUCAGCACGUUGGUCCUUGGACUCAGCACGCUGACCCUUCUCGUUGACUGUUCGGGUGAUUUUGGCCCUCGUGGGCUGUCUGUUGAGUACUCACAGGACGUCUGUGGGUGUCUGCCAGCACCCACAGGAUGUUUGUGGCUGCCUUUGUGUGUCCGUGUGUGUCCGUGUGUGUUCGUCAGCACUCACAGGACGUAUGUGGCUGUUCAUCAGUACACAUAUCAGCACGUUGGUCCUUGAACUCAGCACGUUGGUCCUUGGACUCAGCACGCUGGCCCUUCCCGUGGACUGUUUGGGUCAUUUUGGCCCACGUGUGCUGUCUGUUCAGUACACACAGGACGUCCGUGGGUGUCCACCAGCACACAUAGGACGUUUGUGGCUGUCAGUGGCUGUCCGUCAGCACACACAGGACAUCUGUGGCUGUCCGUGUGUGCCCGUUUGUGUCUGUGGGUGUCUGCCAGGAUACAUAGAACGUUCGUGGCUGUCCGUGGCUGUCUGUCAGCACACACAGGACGUCCAUGUGUGUCCGUCAGCACACACAGGAUGUCCGUGUGUGUGCGUGUGUGUCCGUCAACACACACAGGAUGUCAGUGGCUGUCCAUCAGUACACAUAUCAGCACGCUGGCCCUUCCCGUGGACUGUUCGGGUGAUUUUGGCCCAAGUGGGCUGUCUGUUCAGUACACAAAGGACGUCCGUGGGUGUCCGUCAGCACACACAGGACGUCCGUGGGUGUCCGUCAGCACACACAGGACGUCCGUGGGUGUCCGUCAGCACACACAGGACGUCCGUGUGUGUUUGUGUGUUUCCGUCAUACACACAGGACGUCCGUGGCUGUCCAUCAGUACACAUAUCAGCACAUUGGUCCUUGGACUCAGCACGCUGGCCCUUCCCGUGGACUGUUUGGGUGAUUUUGGCCCACGUGGGCUGUCUGUUCAGUACACAAAGGACGUCCGUGGGUGUCCGCCAGCACACACAGGACGUCCGUGGCUGUCUGUCGCUGUCCGUCAGCACACACAGGACGUCCGUGACUGUCCGUGUGUGUCUGUGUGUGUCCGUCAGCACACACAGGAUGUCCGUGGGUGUCCGUCAGCACACACAGGACGUCCGUGUGUGUCCGUCAGCACACACAGGACGUCAGUGGCUGUCCAUGUGUGUCCGUUUGUGUCUGUCAGCACAAACAUGACGUCUGUGGCUGUCCAUCAGUACACAUAUCAGCAUUUUUGUCCUUGGACUCAGCACCCUGGCCCUUCCCGUGGACUGUUUUGGUGAUUUUGGCCCGCGUGGGCUGUCUGUUCAGUACACAAAGGACGUCUGUGGGUGUACCCAAGCACACACAGGACGUCCGUGGGUGUCUGUGGCUACCCGUCAGCACAUAGAGGACGUCCAUGGCUGUCCAUCAGUACACAUAUCAAUACGCUGGUCCUUGGACUCAGCUCGCUGGCCCUACCCGUGGACUGUUAGGGUGAUUUUAGCCCACGUGGGAUGUCUGGUCAGUACACACAGGAUGUCCGUGGGUGUCCGCCAGCACCCAUAGGACGUCUGUGGCUGUCCGUGUUUGUCCGUCUGUGACCGUCAGCAGACACAGGGCGUCCGUGUUUGUCCAUCAGUUCACAUUUCAGCACGUUGGUUCUUGGACUCCGCACGCUGGCCCUCCCCGUGGACUGUUUGGGUGAUUUUGGCCCACGUGGGCUGUCUGUUCAGUACACACAAGAUGUCUGUGGGUGUCCGCCAGGACACACAGAACGUCCGUGGCUGUCCAUUUGUGUCUGUGUGUGUCUGUGGGUGUCCACCAGCACAAACAGGACGUUCGUGGCUGUCAAUGGCUGUCCGUCAGCACACACAGGACGUCUAUGUGUGUCCGUCAGCACACACAGGACGUGUGUGUGUGUCUGUGUGUGUCCGUCAGCACACACAGGAAGUCCGUGGCUGUCCUUCAGUACACAUAUAAGCACGCUGGUCCUUGGACUCAGCACGCUGGCCCUUCCCGUGGACUGUUUGGGUGAUUUUGGCCCAUGUGGGCUGUCUGUUCAGUACACACAUGACGUCCGUGGGGGUCCGUCAGCACACACAGGAUGUCCGUGGCUGUCCGUGUGUGUCUGUGUGUGUCCGUCAGCACACACAAGACGUCCGUGGCUGUCCAUCAGUACACAUAUCAGUACGUUGGUUCUUGGACUCAGCACCCUGGCCCUUCUCGGGGACUGUUCGGGUGAUUUCGGCCCACGUGGGCUGUCUGUUCAGUACACACAGGACGUCCGUGUGUGUCCGUCAGCACACACAGGACAUUCUUGUGUGUCCAUCAGCUCACAGAGGACGUCCGGGGCUGUCCGUGUGUGUCCGUCAGCACACACAAGACGUCCGUGAGUGUCCAUCAGUACACAUAUCAGCAUGUUGGUCCUUGAACUCAGCACGUUGACCCUUCCCGUGGACUGUUCGGGUGAUUUUGGCCCACGUGGGCGGUCUGGUCAGUACACACAGGACUUCUGUGGGUGUCCGCCAGCACACACAGGACGUCCGAGGCUGUCCGUGUGUGUCCGUCUGUGACCGUCAGCACACACAGGACGUCCGUGUCUGUCCAUCAGUUCACAUUUCAGCAUGUUGGUUCUUGGACUCCGCACGCUGGCCCCCCCCCGUGGACUGUUUGUGUGAUUUUGGCCCACGUGGGCUGUCUGUUCAGUACACACAAGAUGUCUGUGGGUGUCCGCCAGGACACACAGGACGUCCGUGGCUGUCCGUCUGUGUUUGUGUGUGUCUGUGGGUGUCCUCCAGCACACACAGGACGUCUAUGUGUGUCCGUCAGUACACACAGGACGUGUGUGUGUGUCUGUGUGUGUCCGUCAGCACACACAGGAAGUCUGUGGCUGUCCUUCAGUACACAUAUCAGCACGCUGGUCCUUGGACGCAGCACGCUGGCCCUUCCUUGGACAGUUUGGGUGAUUUUGGCCCACGUGGGCUGUCUGUUCAGUACACACAUGACGUCCGUGGGGGUCCGUCAGCACACACAAGACAUCCGUGGCUGUCCGUGUGUUUCUGUGUGUGUCCGUCAGCACACACAGGACGUCCGUGGCUGUCCAUCAGUACACAUAUCAGCACGUUGGUCCUUGGACUCAGCACGCUGACCCUUCCCGUUGACUGUUCGGGUGAUUUUGGCCCUCGUGGGCAGUCUGUUGAGUACUCACAGGACGUCUGUGGGUGUCUGCCAGCACCCACAGGAUGUUUGUGGCUGCCUUUGUGUGUCCGUGUGUGUCCGUGUGUGUUCGUCAGCACUCACAGGACGUCUGUGGCUGUUCAUCAGUACACAUAUCAGCACGUUGGUCCUUGAACUCAGCACGUUGGUCCUUGGACUCAGCACGCUGGCCCUUCCCGUGGACUGUUUGGGUCAUUUUGGCCCACGUGUGCUGUCUGUUCAGUACACCAAGGACGUCCGUGGGUGUCCGCCAGCACACAUAGGACGUUUGUGGCUGUCAGUGGCUGUCCGUCAGCACACACAGGACAUCUGUGGCUGUCCGUGUGUGCCCGUUUGUGUCUGUGGGUGUCUGCCAGGAUACAUAGAACGUUCGUGGCUGUCCGUGGCUGUCUGUCAGCACACACAGGACGUCCAUGUGUGUCCGUCAGCACACACAGGAUGUCCGUGUGUGUGCGUGUGUGUCCGUCAACACACACAGGAUGUCAGUGGCUGUCCAUCAGUACACAUAUCAGCACGCUGGCCCUUCCCGUGGACUGUUCGGGUGAUUUUGGCCCAAGUGGGUUGUCUGUUCAGUACACAAAGGACGUCCAUGGGUGUCCGUCAGCACACACAGGACGUCUGUGGGUGUCCGUUAGCACACAUAGGACGUCCGUGGGUGUCCGUCAGCACACACAGGACGUCCGUGUGUGUCUGUGUGUUUCCGUCAGCACACACAGGACGUCCGUGGCUGUCCAUUAGUACACAUAUCAGCACGUUAGUCCUUGGACUCAGCACGCUGGCCCUUCCCGUGGACUGUUUGGGUGAUUUUGGCCCACGUGGGCUGUCUGUUCAGUACACAAAGGACGUCUGUGGGUGUCCGCCAGCACACACAGGACAUCCGUGGCUGUCCGUGGCUGUCCGGCAGCACACACAGGACGUCUGUGACUGUCCGUGUGUGUCCGUCAGAACACACAGGAUGUCCGUGGGUGUCCGUCAGCACACACAGGACGUCCGUGUGUGUCCGUCAGCACACACAGGACGUCCGUGGCUGUCCGUCAGCACACACAGGAUGUCCGUGGCUGUCCAUGUGUGUCCGUGUGUGUCCGUCAGCACACACAGGACGUAUGUGGCUGUCCAUCAGUACACAUUUCAGCAUUUUUGUCCUUGGACUCAGCACGCUGGCCCUUCCCGUGGACUGUUUUGGUGAUUUUGGCCCACGUGGGCUGUCUGUUCAGUACACAAAGGACGUCUGUGGGUGUCCGCCAGCACACACAGGACGUCCGUGGCUGUCUGUCGCUGUCCGUCAGCACACACAGGACGUCCGUGACUAUCCGUGUGUGUCUGUGUGUGUCCGUCAGCACACACAGGAUGUCCGUGGGUGUCCGUCAGCACACACAGGACGUCCCUGUGUGUCCGUCAGCACACACAGGACGUCAGUGGCUGUCCAUGUGUGUCCGUUUGUGUCCGUCAGCACACACAUGACGUCUGUGGCUGUCCAUCAGUACACAUUUCAGCAUUUUUGUCCUUGGACUCAGCACCCUGGCCCUUCCCGUGGACUGUUUUGGUGAUUUUGGCCCGCGUGGGCUGUCUGUUCAGUACACAAAGGACGUCUGUGGGUGUCCCCAAGCACACACAGGACGUCCGUGGGUGUCUGUGGCUAUCCGUCAGCACAUAGAGGACGUCCGUGGCUGUCCAUCAGUACACAUAUCAAUAAGCUGGUCCUUGGACUCAGCACGCUGGCCCUUCCCGUGGACUGUUAGGGUGAUUUUGGCCCACGUGGGAUGUCUGGUCAGUAGACACAGGAUGUCCGUGGGUGUCCGCCAGCACACACAGGACGUCUGUGGCUCUCCGUGUGUGUCCGUCUGUGACCGUCAGCACACACAGGGCGUCCGUGUCUGUCCAUCAGUUCACAUUUCAGCACGUUGGUUCUUGGACUCCGCACGCUGGCCCUCCCCGUGGACUGAUUGGGUUAUUUUGGCCCACGUGGGCUGUCUGUUCAGUACACACAAGAUGUCUGUGGGUGUCCGCUAGGACACACAGGACGUCCGUGGCUAUCCGUCUGUGUCCGUGUGUGUCUGUGGGUGUCCGCCAGCACACACAGGACGUUCGUGGCUGUCAAUGGCUGUCCGUCAGCACACACAGGACGUCUAUGUGUGUCCGUCAGCACACAUAGGACGUGUGUGUGUGUCUGUGUGUGUCCGUCAGCACACACAGGACGUGUGUGUACGUCUGUGUGUGUCCGUGGCUGUCCUUCAGUACACAUAUCAGCACGGUGGUCCUAGGACUCAGCACGCUGGCCCUUCCCGUGGACUGUUUGGGUGAUUUUGGCCCACGUGGGCUGUCUGUUCAGUACACACAUGACGUCCGUGGGUGUCCGUCAGCACACACAGGACAUCCGUGGCUGUCCGUGUGUGUCUGUGUGUGUCCGUAAGCACACACAGGACGUUCGUGGCUGUCCAUCAGUACACAUAUCAGCACGUUGGUCCUUGGACUCAGCACGCUGACCCUUCCCGUGGAAUGUUCGGGUGAUUUUGGCCCUCGUGGGCUGUCUGUUGAGUACUCACAGGACGUCUGUGGGUGUCCGCCAGCACACACAGGAUGUCCGUGGCUGCCUGUGUGUGUCCAUGUGUGUCCGUCUGUCUCCGUCAGCACUCACAGGAAGUCCGUGGCUGUUCAUAAGUACACAUAUCAGCACGUUGGUCCUUGAACUCAGCACGUUGGUCCUUGGACUCAGCACGCUGGCCCUUCCCGUGGACUGUUUGGGUCAUUUUGGCCCACGUGGGCUGUCUGUUCAGUACACACAGGACGUCUGUGGGUGUCAGCCAGCACACACAGGACGUUUGUGGCUGUCAGUGGCUGUCCGUCAGCAUACACAGGACGUCUGUGGCUGUCCGUGUGUGCCCGUGUGUGUCUGUGGGUGUCUGCCAGCAUACACAGGACGUUCGUGGCUGUCCGUGGCUGUUUGUCAGCACACAUAGGACGUCCAUGUGUGUCGGUCAGCACACACAGGACGUCCGUGUGUGUGCGUGUGUGUCCAUCAGCACACACAGGAUGUCUGUGGCUGUCCAUCAGUACAUAUAUCAGCACGCUGGCCCUUCCCGUGGACUGUUCGGGUGAUUUUGGCCCACGUGGGCUCUCUGUUCAGUAAACAAAGGACGUCCGUGGGUGUCCGUCAGCACACAGGACGUCCGUGGGUGUCCGUCAGCACACACAGGACGUCCGUGUGUGUCUGUGUGUGUCCGUCAGCACACACAGGACGUCUGUGGCUGUCCAUCAAUACACAUAUCAGCACGUUGGUCCUUGGACUCAGCACGCUGGCCCUUCCCGUGGACUGUUUGGGUGAUUUUGGCCCACGUGGGCUGUCUGUUCAGUACACAAAGGACGUCAGUGGGUGUCCGCCAGCACACACAGGACAUCUGUGGCUGUCCGUGGCUGUCCGUCAGCACACACAGGACGUCCGUGACUGUCUGUGUGUGUCCGUUUGUGUCCGUCAGCACACACAGGAUGUCCGUGGGUGUCCGUCAGCACACACAGGACGUCUGUGUGUGUCCGUCAGCACACACAGGACGUCUGUGGCUGUCCAUGUGUGUCCGUGUGUGUCCGUCAGCACACACAGGACGUCUGUGGCUGUCCACCAGUACACAUAUCAGCAUUUUUGUCCUUGGACUUAGCACCCUGGCCCUUCCCGUGGACUGUUUUGGUGAUUUUGGCCCACGUGGGCUGUCUUUUCAGUACACAAAGGACGUCUGUGGGUGUCCGCCAGCACAAACAGGACGUCCGUGGGUGUCUGUGGCUAUCCGUCAGCACACAGAGGACGUCUGUGGCUGUCCAUCAGUACACAUAUCAGCACGCUGGUCCUUGGACGCAGCACGCUGGCCCUUCCCGUGGACUGUUAGGGUGAUUUUGGCCCAAGUGCGCUGUCUGUUCAGUACACACAGGACGUCCGUGGGUGUCCAUCAGCACACACAGGACGUCUGUGGGUGUCCGUCAGUACACACAGGACAUCCGUGGGUGUCCAUGUGUGUCCGUGUGUGUCCGUGUGUGUCCGCCAGCACACACAUGACGUCUAUGGGUGUCCAUCAGUACACAUAUCAGCACGUUGGUCGUUGGACUCAGCACGCUGACCCUUUGAUGAACCCUAAGGAACGAACACUCAACCGGAUCUGAUGAUAUGAACUCGAUCUCAAGAGAUAGAGAACUGAUGGAUUGUUUAGUGACACAAAGGGAUGCGGAAGACCCAAUGAUACUACUAGAACUCUCAAUGGCCGCUUGAUUUGACAAACAAGUCUGGCUCAAAGAAAGGGGAUUCACUUGGAGAUAGCCUCACCAAGGGAACAAGAAUGUUCUAAUCAAAGAACAAAUAAAGAAAUCUCAAAAUGAAUAAGGAAAAUCGAUUAUCUUAUUUCAAGGAUGUGUUCUCAUACUUAUAUAACUUGUAGUCAAAGAUAAUAAAUAAAAAUGUAGUCAAAGCACAAAAAAUAAUGUUGACUGGUCGAUUUGAACUCUUCGGCUACUCUUGUCCAGGUUCGGUAUAACUGAUAGCACGUCCCGCGGUAAGGAGCAGUACACGGCCGGUACAGUCUUCAUGUAAGGACGGGUGAUUUUCAUGGACUGUUCUGGACCAAAAGGUGGCUAUAUCUUCGGACAACCUUAAGAGUCUUGCCUUAGAGAGAUUUGGCUGAUCAAAGUUCAUGAACUGAUCGAAGUGUCGGAUCAGUUCAUCAAAACGAUCCCCGGUUCGGCCGAGAUGGCUUAAGAGAGAGAGACCAUGGUCGGAUUUUGAUUCCACUUGAUCAACUUCACUUCUGACUUGACCGAUGGACUUAGCAUGAAGAACAGGACGGGAAAGGCGAACUUCAGUACGGUUGAUUUGGCCAUCUGGUCGCGGGUUAUGUUGAAGCUCCAAUUCGGACGAGUGCGGGUCGAGACGAUACACUGCCCGAGCAGUCUGUUCGGCCCGAUCGAUGGACUGAACCUCAGUUGCGUUGUUUCGGACGUUCUGAUCCUCGUUCUGAUCUGAUUCCAUGGACUGAUCCUCGGACUGGGGCACAUCAUUCCCUCCUUUUUCAAUAGGAUUUGACCACAAAUCUGGAUCAUCUACAAGAAAAGAGGAAAGAUCAGAAACGUUAAAGCUCGAAGAAAUGUCAUACUUACCUUGAAGAUCAAGCUGAUAAACAUUGUCAUUGAUCUUCUUAAGGAUCUGGAAUGGACCAUCGACCCGAGGCAUAAGUUUAGACUUUCUUUCUUCCGAAAAUCGCUCCUUUCUCAAGUGAACCCAAACAAGAUCACCUGCUUUGAAAAUAACCUCCUUUCUUUUCUGAUUGGCAUAUCUUUUAUAGAUCUCGGUCUUGGCCUCAAUGUUUGCACGAACCUGUUCAUGUAGCUUUUUGAUAGUGGCCGCCUUCCUCUUGCCAUCUGUACUAACUCUUUCACUCAAAGGCAAAGGUAAAAGAUCAAGUGGGCACAAAGGAUUAAACCCAUAAACAACGUCAAAAGGAGAAAACUUUGUAGCAGAAUGCAUUGCAUGAUUGUAAGCAAACUCAACAUUUGGUAAGCAUUCUUCCCAAAGCCUAAGAUUCUUUUUAACCAAAGAUCUAAGCAGAGCAGACAAGGUUCGAUUAACAACUUCAGUUUGACCAUCAGUUUGCGGAUGACAAGUUGUGAAAAACAUCAAUCAUGUUCCUAGUUUAGACCAUAAGGUUUUCCAAAAAUAACUAAGGAACUUAGCAUCGCGAUCAGAUACAAUGGUGUUAGGCAUUCCAUGCAAUCUAACAAUCUCUCUAAAGAACAAAUCAGCAACUUGUGUGGCAUCAUCAGUUUUAUGACAAGGAAUGAAAUGAGCCAUUUUCGAAAAUCUGUCUACAACAACAAAGAUUGAAUCUCGUCCAGACUUAGACCUUGGCAAUCCUAACACGAAAUCCAUAGAAAUGUCUACACAAGGAUGAGAAGGAAUAGGAAGUGAAGAAUACAAACCGUGGUUUGAAGAUUUGGACUUAGACUUCUUGCACACCACACAUCGGCUACAUAUCCGUUCCACAUCUUUCAUCAAGCUUGGCCAAUAGAAGUGAUCAUGAACCGCCUUGUAAGUUUUCUUAACACCAAAAUGUCCCAUAAGACCUCCUCCAUGAGCUUCCCUGAGAAACAACUCCCUCAAAGAACAUUGGGGCACACAUAAGCGGUUAUCAAGAAAUAGGAAUCCAGAGUUUUGAAAAUACUUUCCAUAAGCGACCUUGGAACAUUUUCGGAAAACCUCUUUGAAAUCUUGAUCAGAUACGUAUAAAUCUUUGAUAAACUGAAAACCAAGCAAUUUUGUUUCAAGGGCUGAGAGAAGAGUAUACCUUCGAGACAAUGCAUCGGCCACAACAUUCUCCUUACCUUGUUUGUACUUGAUCACAUAAGGGAAUGUCCCAAUGAACUCCAUCUAACGAGCAUGCCUCUUGUUGAGCUUCUGCUGACCCUUAAGGUGUCUUAGAGACUGAUGAUCAGUGUGGAUGAUGAACUCCUUAGGCCAAAGAUAGUGCUGCCACAUUUGAAGGGCCCUCACCAAGGCAUAGAGUUUUUGGUCGUAUGUGGGGUAGUUGAGCAUAGCUCCUCCAAGCUUCUCACUGAAAUAAGCCACUGAUUUUCCAUCCUGCAUCAACACAGCACCAAUACCAACACCAGAAGCAUCACAUUCGAUUUCAAAAGCUUUAGAAAAAUCUGGAAGUACAAGUAAAGGGGCGUGAGUCAACUUCCCUUUAAGGAUUUCGAAUGCUUCUUCCUGAGCUGGUCCCCAUUUGAACCCCACGUUCUUCUUGAUUACUUCAAGAAGAGGAGCGGCCAAGGUACUGAAAUUUUGAACAAAUCGCCUAUAGAAGCCGGCAAGGCCAUGGAAGCUUCUUACUUCACCAAUGAUGGUCGGAAUCGGCCAGUCCUGGAUUGCUUGGACCUUCUUCUCGUCCACUCUCAAGCCAUCUGCACCUACAACAAAACCUAGAAAGACCACAUGAUCUGUGCCAAAAUAACACUUUCCAAGGUUAGCAAACAAACGUUCCUUUCUAAGGACUUCAAGAACAGAUUUCAAGUGCUGUUGGUGCUCAUCAAGGCUUUUGCUGCAAAAAAGAAUGUCAUCAAAGUAAACCACAACAAAAUGACCAAUAAAACACCUCAAGACAUGAUUCAUUAGGCGCAUGGAAGUACUAGGUGCAUUAGUGAGACCAAAGGGCAUGACAAGCCACUCAUACAAACCUAGUAUUGUUUUAAAGGCCGUUUUCCAUUCAUCACCUUCUUUCAUCCUAAUCUGAUGAUAGCCAUUUCUCAAAUCUAUCUUAGAAAACUACUUAGAACCAUGGAGUUCAUCAAGCAUAUCAUCAAGACGAGGGAUAGGAUGUCGAGACUUUACUGUGAUGUUGUUUAUGGCCCGGCAGUCCACACAUCCUCCAGGAGCCAUCCUUCUUUGGUACAAGUAGAACAGGCACGGCACAGGGACUGAGACUCUCUCUGAUGUAUCCCUUCUCAAGCAAGUUUUUGAUCUGUUUCUGCAGUUCCUUGGUCUCGACCGGAAUGGUGCGGUACGCUGGCGGUUCGGUAGAGAGGCGCCCGGGACGAGAUCGAUCUGAUGCUCAAUGCCUCUCACCGGUGGCAAUCCUUUGGGAUUUUCUUCUGGAAACACAUCAGAAUAAUCCUGCAAGAUACCUAAAAACUCACUCAGAAUCUCCGGUGCAAGGUCAGAAGAAGAUGAGGCCAAGAGAGACUCUUUAUAAAUCAGUAAGAGAAAUGGCUUUUGAGAGCAAAGAGACUUCCUUACCUGACUUUCUUUGACAAAGAAGUUGGAGUUUCUGGUACUGGUCUCAGGUUUAUCAGCUUUAGAGUCUUGGUCUUGGUUCUUCUUAAGUUGGACCUGGUCUUGAUGGACUUCCGAAGGCGACAAAGGCACCAAGGUGAUCUUCUUUCCUUUAUGAUCAAAUGAGUGCCGGUUUGUGAAACCAUCAUGCACUGCCUUCUUGUUAAAUAGCCAAGGCCGGCCCAAGAGAACAUGGCAAGCAUCCAUGGGAAGCACAUUGCAAACAACCUCAUCCUCAUAUCGGCCAAUGGAGAGUGGAACCGUGACUUGCUCCUUCACAUACUGUUCUCGGACUCAUUGAGCCACUCCAACCUGAAAGGACGAGAAAGAGGCCGAGUAACAAGCCCAAGUUUCUUUACAAGGGUGUCACUAGCCACAUUAGUGCAACUACCUCCAUCAAUAAUUAAAGAACAAACUUUAUCAGAUAUGAGACAUCUAGAGUGAAAGAGAUUCUCCCUUUGUUCUUUGUCAUUGGAUUUUGGUUGGACACUCAAGGCACGCCUAGUAACCAGUAGUGAACCAUGGCUUGGCUCAUCAAAAACAUCCUCAUCAUAGAUCGGAUCAGAACUCUCCACGAAGGUCGAGCAAAACUCAUUGAUCCCUCCAUCGACCUCCUCAUCAAAGAUGGGAUCAAUGGUGUCGUCCAAGACCUUCCUAGUAACAAGAAGGGGACCAUGAACCGGGAAGUCAAGUUCUUCUUCCUCAUGAUCAUCAUCAUACACUGGUCCGAUAUCCUUCUUGUCUUCUUCAGAUUCGACUUCUCCAUUCUCCAUGAGCACCAUCACCUUUUGGUUUGGACAUCGGUUGGCAUAGUGGCCAAGGCCAUGACACCUAAAGCAUUGGAUGUCUCUGGUUCGUUUGGUAGCUUCUUCUUUCUUUUCUCUAUUAACACGAGCAGGGACAUUUGUCUGAAAAGCUGUAUUUGUUGUGGAAGAAGACUUACCCUUGUCUUGAUAGUUUGGCUUGGAAGCAAAGGUUGGUUUAGAAGCAAAGGUCGGUUUAGUGAGACCCUUUCUCUUGACUUGUUGCUCGAUCAGCACGGCCUUGUGUAACAUCUGCUCCAUGCUGUCAUAGUCUUCCAGCUCCAUGCGGUCUUGUAUGUCCCAGUUGAGCCCGGUAAGAAAUCUGGCCAUGGUGGCGUCUAAGGGCUCUUCUACAUCAGCUUUGAUCAUCAAGGUCUCAAUCUCCUGGUGAUAGUCCUCAACUGACUUAGAAACUUGAAGCAAACGCCUGAGUUUAUGGUGUAGAUCUCUGUGGUAAUGGUCGGGAAAAAAGCGUCUCCGCAUCAGCAGGGAAAGCUCAUCCCAUGUAUCAACUGGCGCCUCACCUGCUCUCCUCCUGCUAGUCACAACUCGAUCAUACCAGUUAAUAGCAUAGCCAGUAAACUCAGCAGCAGCAAGUCUAACCUUUUUAAUAUCAGAAAAAUUUUGACAAUUAAACACAAGUUCAAUUUUUCUUUCCCAUUCAAGAAAAGCAUCCGGAUCAUUUUUGCCAUCAAAACUUGGAAUUUUCAAUUUCAAACCACCCAAGCCAUCAUUGGUUCUUUCAUUUCUACCAAAAGGAUUGACAUCACCUCGGUUUUGAUGCCUAGGAACUCUCCUUGGACAGUUGAUGGAUCGAUCAUCAUCAUAAGACUCUUCUCGGAUUUCUAGGUCGGACCGGCUGUUCCUCCUUGGAUGGUCGUCUGGUUCUGGUUCGUGGCUGACUUGGAUGGCCCUGAAGUUCAUCUAGCCUCUGAUGGAUUGCCUCCAAACCUGUAUUCAACAAGUUAGACAUAGAAUCAUUGAGAGCACACAUUUGCAAGUUAGAUAAUCCGGCAUGUGAAUUUCCGGGUCGGUUUCUUUCAUCUUCACUAUCCAUGGCUACCUGAAAACUUAAACAAGGUAAAGUUAGAUUAAAAACCUCACACACUCAGGUGUUUAUCCUUGCCCACACACGUGUUUCACUCAAUUUGGUAGUCACACAAGAGAGUUUCCCUCAAAGUUCUAAGAGAACAAACUAGAUAACCCAAAAUGAGAAUCCCAAGUGAAACACCCAAGAGACAAGAUAGAAAGAUAAGAGAUUUAACAAGGGGAAUCUGUAUUAACCACCUCCAAGGCCGGGUUUCUCCUCGGCCAGCAGGCUUACUCUUCCACCACCAAACCACAAUUGAAAACUUUUGAUAUAUUUUCUUUCUUUUUCUUUUUUUUUUGAUUAGAUCUUUCUUUCUUUUAUUUUAAUAUAUAUGGAUGGUAAAGCGGGGCCCGGAUUCAAAGAUAGAUAGAAGAAGAAUUUCUUUUUUUUUUCUGAAGAAAAUGAUAGAUGAGAAAGAUGGAAUGAAAAGAGAUACCGGAAGAGUGGCUCUGAUACCACUUGAAGAACCCUAAGGAACGAACACUCAACCGGAUCUGAUGAUAUGAACUCGAUCUGAAGAGAUAGAGAACUGAUGGAUUGUUUAGUGACACAAAGGGAUGCGGAAGACCCAAUGAUACUACUAGAACUCUCAAUGGCCGCUUGAUUUGACACACAAGUCCGGCUCAAAGAAAGGGGAUUCACUUGGAGAUAGCCUCACCAAGGGAACAAGAAUGUUCUAAUCAAAGAACAAAGAAAGAAAUCUCAAAAUGAAUAAGGAAAAUCGAUUAUCUUAUUUCAAGGAUGC